UACGUAGGGUGCAAGCGUUGUCCGGAAUUAUUGGGCGUAAAGAGCUCGUAGGCGGUCUGUCGCGUCGGCUGUGAAAUCCCGGAGCUCAACUCCGGGUCUGCAGUCGAUACGGGCAAACUGGAGUACUGCAGGGGAGACUGGAAUUCCUGGUGUAGCGGUGAAAUGCGUAGAGAUCAGCAGGAAUACCCGUGGCGAAGGCGGCCCCCUGGGCCGAACCUGACGCUGAGGCGCGAAGGCUAGGGGAGCGAACAGG
rnacentral:rRNA from 1 species